rnacentral:lncRNA from 1 species
CUUGUUUGUGUUUUAAACACAACCUACAAUCGCGUUUUUUCCUAACCCUGUGAAAACCCAGUGUCAGAUGAGAGAGGCUGCAUCUAUCAGCCCACCUUCCCCCUUAGCACAGGGAAUCUGGCUGACUUCAGCUUGGAUUCUUGAAGCUCAGUGGUUCUCAAACUUCGGCGUGCAUCGAAACCACUUGGAGGGCUUGUCAAAACCCCUCUCAGAGCUCCUGAUUCUGUAGGUCUGGGGAGAGCCUGAGAAUUUACACCUCUAACAAGUUUCCGAGUGAGGCUGAUGCUGCUGGUCUAGUCGC